AAUAGUCUAACGACUGAACCAGCAACUUGGAGGAAUGCAUAUUGACUACGUCAAAUAAAGUUCUAGUAGAAUAAUGAUAAUGACAAUUUUCUAUUAUAUGUCUUGACCAACUCACGUGCCAGCAGUCGCGGUAAUACGUGGAAGACAAGUGUUAUUCAUCUUUAAUAGGUUUAAAGGGUACCUAGACGGUAUUUUUAGCCCAAAGCAGGGUACGAAAUUACUAGAGUUUUCAUACGAGUGGGGGAGUAUUUUUAGUGUAGAGAUAGAAUUCUGUCAUACUUUAGAGACUGAUAAAGGCGAAAGCAACCUUCUAUGUAUAAACUGACGUUGAGGGACGAAGGCUCGGGUCACGAUAAGGAUUAGAUACCCUUGUAGUCCAAGCAGAGAAUUAUGAAUGUCACACGCUAGAUUUAUUUAGUGUGUAAAUAAAAGUGUAAGCAUUCCACCUUAAGAGUAAUGUGGCAACGCAGGAACUGAAAUCAUUAGACCGUUACUGAUACCAGUAGUGAAGUAUGUUAUUUAAUUCGAUAAUCCCCGAAGAAUCUUACCACAAUUUGUAUAUUUGUGUUUUUAUAUUUACAAAAUUGCAUCGCAAUUUUUAAAUCUUUAGCUAUUUACAAGAGCUGCACGGCUGUCUUCAGUUAAUGUCGUGAGACCUGGUUACUCCUCUAAAUUAACGUAAACCCUUGCUUUAUUUAACAAUUGUGUAUAAAGUACUCGAACCGCUACAUUGGUUAUGACAAAAGGGAUCAAGACAAGUCAUCAUGGCCUAAAUAUUGUGGGCUAUAGACGUGCCAUAUAUGCCUAGACAAAAAGAUGCGAAAUUGCGAAAUAGAGCUAAUCUUAUAAAAUAGGAAAAAUUUCGACAA
rnacentral:rRNA from 1 species